GGAGCCGUGGCUGGAGUCAUGCUGUCCCAGCAGCAGGAAGUGAAUUGCACUGGCUACAGUGCGGCUUUGUAGCUGGGUGAAUCCCAGGUUCCAUUGUCCCUUUGCGAGAUCCCCGAGCCCCGGCGGCUGGUGCUGGGAGCCCGGAGCCCUGGCUGCAGCCGGGAGAGGGGAAUCUCCAGCAGGGCCCUUCCCGCUGACUCCCCAGGAGCCUCUCCCAGGGCAGAGCCCCCCUUCCCAGGCCCCAGCUCCCAGGGAGGGCACCGCUCGGAGGGAAGGCUGCAGAAUAACGACCACGUCUCGCUCCAGAUCGGCCCAUCGGACCAUGAAACAGGGACGGGAAACGGCGGGAGCGGAACCUGCUUGGGGAACAACCCCCCUACCCAAGGCUGGAGAAAUUUACCAGACUCCCAGUGCCGGAGCCAGAAACUUCUAGCCAGAAGCAGACAAUGGUGAGGUACAGGCGAGAUGUCCCAUCCUGGAGACCCAGCUCCUGAGAAGGUGAGGGGUUGGGAUUUCUCUCCCUGGACCUGUUUUGGGGGCGCCAUUUCCCGUAUCACCCUCUGGCUGGUAGGAAUGUGAUGAACAUGAAGGUCCCUGGUCUCCUCCAUCUGCUGGGAUGGGAGGGACAAGGAGCGCUCACCUUCUCCCCACCCUGAAGCCUCCUGGCUGCUCUGAGCAGGGUGGGGGUGGGAUUCUACUAUUCUGUCCCCCCCAGAGCUUCCAUUUUAUUGGCCCUCCUCCCCCGUGACUAGCGGGAUUGUG